CUGGCCUUAAGUCGUUCAGGAACAACUUCUAAGGAGGGAGACCACAAAAAAGGCAUCUGUGGCUCUCAAACUCCCGAGGAGGAAGUGUGAGAACCCAGAAUUCCAUGAAAUCUACUGACCUGCCCUGGACCUUUAUAAAAACAACCAAACAGGACUAUCAAAACAACAUAUAUAGGUCUACCAUAUUACUAUUUUAAAAGGAUAAUACAUGCAUAUUUCUGCAGAGUAUCCUUUCAAGGAAAAUUUCUACCCACCAAAUGUUGUACAUAUAAUGACUACUUUAAAGAAAACUCUAGCUUGAGAGCAAUAAAAAUGUAUUAUCCUUA